UGUACUUUCUCUCAUCCGGUAACGUUACAUUCUCUCCGCUCGGCUGUUUAAUGUGUACCGAGCGCCCUCACAGUUUCUGUCACACACUCAGACAACGUGAGUACAGAAGCCGGUUGUCUUAAAGGCACGACGAAACACCUGAACGAGCAGAGACGAGCUGCUGGCCGGUAUCUAACUCAGGUCUCACUCUGAGCACAUCAUUGGUUCCGGUGACAUCCGUUACCAUACCGUACUGAUGACAUCUUAUUUAAGCGCGCAGGCAGACGACAAGACAAGAAACCUGUACUAUCAGGCUUGUCUGUUCCUGCAUGGAUGAUCAAUAAAUCAACAGCCUCACAGACAGAAUGCAAAAAAGAAAAAGAAAGAGAGAAGACCGGCAUCUCAAGACAAGAUAAGGCCUUAAACCAGUGAAAUUCUGGUGAUGUCGACCGCCCGUUGUGUAUCCUGACCUUUACGCUGGAAGCAGGAUUUCUGGAGCCUAUGUGAAAUAUAUCUGUAUAUAUAAGGCAGCAAAUUUGUGAAUGUUGAAAAACAAUGCACGCACCUUUGACUAUUGCAACCAAACCCUGCCUUUAUUCUUUUGAUAGCAGUAAAAUUGGUACAGCUUUCCUAGAGCCAUUUUUAUGGUUUCUCGGUGCUCGGUUCCUGCCCUUGUGACCUGCCGGAAUAUCGUGACUUGACAAUAUAUGUGGUUCCUUGUAAGAAGCCGUCUGCAACAAAAUAAAUGGAAAUGGAAAUGCGCAGACUUGCAGCAGAAGACUUCCAUCAGAAUUCAUCAUCAGCAUUCUGCUCCUCCUGAAUGAGUCUCUUUCUCUCUCUCUCUCUCUUCUGUUUUCUAAAUCUUUUGUGUUUCCUAUUGUGUUGCUAGAGAAAAUUCAAGGGUAGAUUAACAUGUUUGCACACACACACACAAAGGUUAAAGAUGUGAUAAAAUUAUGUGUCGACUCUCACUGCCCACACUGACAGUAUUAUAUUUAACUUCAUUGGCACACAACAACAUAAAGAGAUAGUUCACCCAAAACCGA